rnacentral:rRNA from 1 species
AGUGAACGCUGGCGGUAGGCCUAACACAUGCAAGUCGAACGGCAGCACAGUAAGAGCUUGCUCUUACGGGUGGCGAGUGGCGGACGGGUGAGGAAUACAUCGGAAUCUACUUUUUCGUGGGGGAUAACGUAGGGAAACUUACGCUAAUACCGCAUACGACCUACGGGUGAAAGCAGGGGAUCUUCGGACCUUGCGCGAUUGAAUGAGCCGAUGUGGGAUUAGCUCGUUGGCGGGGUAAAGGCCCACCAAGGCGACGAUCCGUAGCUGGUCUGAGAGGAUGAUCAGCCACACUGGAACUGAGACACGGUCCAGACUCCUACGGGAGGCAGCAGUGGGGAAUAUUGGACAAUGGGCGCAAGCCUGAUCCAGCCAUACCGCGUGGGUGAAGAAGGCCUUCUGGUUGUAAAGCCCUUUUGUUGGGAAAGAAAAGCAGCAGGUUAAUACCCCGCUGUUCUGACGGUACCCAAAGAAUAAGCACCGGCUAACUUCGUG